rnacentral:rRNA from 1 species
AUUGAACGCUGGCGGCAGGCCUAACACAUGCAAGUCGAGCGGAUGAAGGGAGCUUGCUCCUGGCUUCAGCGGCGGACGGGUGAGUAAUGCCUAGGAAUCUGCCUGGUCGUGGGGGAUAACGUCCGGAAACGGGCGCUAAUACCGCAUACGUCCUGAGGGAGAAAGUGGGGGAUCUUCGGACCUCACGCUAUCAGAUGAGCCUAGGUCGGAUUAGCUAGUUGGUGGGGUAAAGGCCUACCAAGGCGACGAUCCGUAACUGGUCUGAGAGGAUGAUCAGUCACACUGGAACUGAGACACGGUCCAGACUCCUACGGGAGGCAGCAGUGGGGAAUAUUGGACAAAGGGCGAAAGCCUGAUCCAGCCAUGCCGCGUGUGUGAAGAAGGUCUUCGGAUUGUAAAGCACUUUAAGUUGGGAGGAAGGGCAGUAAGUUAAUACCUUGCUGUUUUGACGGUACCAACAGAAUAAGCACCGGCUAACUUCGUG